GCAACCCACAGCACCGUUUUUAUUUCACAUAUUUCUGUUGGUUCCAUCGGGGGUGCUUGAGCACAAGUGACAGCAUUUAGGCAGCAGGCGGCCGCCCCUCGCUAGUAGCAGCCUCCAGUCCCGCCCCUCACCAGCUGCCGCGCACUAUGGAGCCGGAGGCAGCCACAGGUGCAGUGACUCCCCGCCAGCAGCAGUGCUAACCCGGGCGGAAGAUGCUGGAAACAGCGAGGAGCAGUAACCCCUCCACAGCAUCCUGGCCAGCGGGCAUCAGCAGAUAAGGUGGCGAAGGGCCCAGCAGCAGAUAAUGUGGCGAAGGGCCCGGCACCACUCUUUCACUGCCAUACCGGGGACCAGCGCCACAAGCAGCACCCCUGGACCAAUUCCUCCGCCGCCGGCAUUUGCGCACCCGCCUCGUCCUGGUACCGGCCAAGUUCCAGGACCAGGGCGCUAUGGCCCGGACAACCUGACUAGGGUCCAACUCCGGCGAUUGGUCCUUAUACUGAGGACAGUGGUCCGACAAAUGUUUUUGUAUAUUUUACGUUGUUUAUAAAAAAAAAUAUUUUUUUGUUUUUUUCCUUCCAGUUUUUUUAUUAAAGUUUUUAUAUAAUUUACAGUUA